AUAUGCUCUAAGUAACCUUUCAU
rnacentral:snRNA from 1 species